rnacentral:rRNA from 1 species
CCUACGGGCGGCAGCAGUGAGGAAUAUUGGUCAAUGGCCGAGAGGCUGAACCAGCCAAGUCGCGUGAGGGAAGACGGCCCUACGGGUUGUAAACCUCUUUUGUCGGGGAGCAAAGAGCGUCACGUGUGACUCAUUGAGAGUACCCGAAGAAAAAGCAUAGGCGCACUCCGUGCCAGCAGCCGCGGUAAUACGGAGGUUGCGAGCGGUAUCCGGAUUUAUUGGGGUUAAAGGGUGCGCAGGCGGAGGUGCAAGUCAGCGGUAAAAUUGUGGGGCUCAACCCCGUACUGCCGUUGAACCUGCAUCCCUUGAGUGCGCGAGAAGUAUGCGGAAUGCGUGGUGUAGCGGUGAAAUGCAUAGAUAUCACGCAGAACUCCGAUUGCGAAGGCAGCAUACCGGCGCGCAACUGACGCUGAUGCACGAAAGCGUGGGUAUCGAACAGGAUUAGAUACCCCGGUAGUC